rnacentral:misc_RNA from 1 species
GCAGUUGAAUACCAAAUUGAGGAUAAUUUGUUUUGUUCAAGGCUGCCGAUGACUUUGCUUUGCGUCUUUGUUUUCUGCUGUGUACAUCUUUUCAUUUUAAGCUUUUUCUUCUGAGGUUCUCCAUCAUUGAAAUUUUCAUUGCCUGAAGAAAACUGCUCAUCCUCUUUCUCACAACGUUUAUUUGAAUAAGAACUAUUUUGGCUUAUCUUCUCCUUGUCUAGUUGAGCCUUACCAGCAAGAAGUUUAUUUUUGUCAAUUCCUUCUUUUUCCUUUACUAACUCGUAAUACUCCCUGAAAAGGC